GCUGUUUGAGUCUGUGGUUGAAAGGCCAGGCCAGCUACGGGCAAAAGGUCCCACGUAAGCUGUACGCGAGGCGGCAGUGAUCAUGGCGUAGUUUAGAUGUAAGUCCUCCGAGAAAUUCGGAUUAAGGCAGGUGUGGGGGCAAAGACCAGGUCAGUCAAACAGC
rnacentral:ncRNA from 12 species